rnacentral:rRNA from 1 species
UGGGGAAUAUUGCGCAAUGGGCGGAAGCCUGACGCAGCGACGCCGCGUGGGGGAUGACGGCCUUCGGGUUGUAAACCUCUUUCGACCGGGACGAAGCGUGAGUGACGGUACCGGUAGAAGAAGCACCGGCCAACUACGUGCCAGCAGCCGCGGUAAUACGUAGGGUGCGAGCGUUGUCCGGAAUUAUUGGGCGUAAAGAGCUCGUAGGCGGUGUGUCGCGUCGGUCGUGAAAACUUGGGGCUUAACCCUGAGCUUGCGGUCGAUACGGGCAUCACUGGAGUUCGGCAGGGGAGACUGGAAUUCCUGGUGUAGCGGUGAAAUGCGCAGAUAUCAGGAGGAACACCGGUGGCGAAGGCGGGUCUCUGGGCCGAUACUGACGCUGAGGAGCGAAAGCGUGGGGAGCGAACAG